AUUAUGUAAAAUGACUCUCGGCAACGGAUAUCUCGGCUCUUGCAUCGAUGAAGAACGUAGCGAAAUGCGAUACUUGGUGUGAAUUGCAGAAUCCCGUGAACCAUCGAGUCUUUGAACGCAAGUUGCGCCCAAAGCCAUUANGUUGAGGGCACGCCUGCCUGGGUGUCACAC
rnacentral:rRNA from 1 species